CGCACAUUGCGCCUAAUAGUAUUCUGUUAGGCAUGCCUGUUCGAGCGUCAUUUCAACCUUCAAGCCCUAUUUGCUUGACGUUGGGAGUUUACAGCUGCUGUAAUUCCUUAAAUUUAGUGGCGGAGCUAGGUCAUGCUCUGAGCGUAGUAAUUCUUUUUUCUCGCUCUUGAUGCUGCCCUGUAUCUUGCCGUAAAACCCCCUAAAUUUUAUUCUGGUUGACCUCGGAUCAGGUAGGAAUACCCGCUGAACUUAA
rnacentral:misc_RNA from 1 species